rnacentral:rRNA from 1 species
GACGAACGCUGGCGGCGUGCUUAACACAUGCAAGUCGAACGGAAAGGCCCUGCUUUUGUGGGGUGCUCGAGUGGCGAACGGGUGAGUAACACGUGAGUAACCUGCCCUUGACUUUGGGAUAACUUCAGGAAACUGGGGCUAAUACCGGAUAGGAGCUCCUGCUGCAUGGGGGGGGUUGGAAAGUUUCGGCGGUUGGGGAUGGACUCGCGGCUUAUCAGCUUGUUGGUGGGGUAGUGGCUUACCAAGGCUUUGACGGGUAGCCGGCCUGAGAGGGUGACCGGCCACAUUGGGACUGCGAUACGGCCCAGACUCCUACGGGCGGCAGCAGUGGGGAAUAUUGCACAAUGGGCGGAAGCCUGAUGCAGCAACGCCGCGUGCGGGAUGCCGGCCUUCGGGUUGUAAACCGCUUUCGCCUGUGCCGAAGCGUGAGUGACGGUAAUGGGUAAAGAAGCACCGGCUAACUACGUG